AAAGAACAGGAACAAGAUGUGAAAACGCCCCAUUCCGCUGGCAUUUAGUUGUCCCUGUGCCGAGUAACCAUUAUUAUCGUACUUGGAUCAGUCUUCGCAUGCAGCGGGAAUUUAGGGUGGUAGUAAAAGUUGAAAAGAAUUGGAAACUUACUGCACCUACCUUCCAGAACUCAACAAAGUCGUGCAGCGAGGUGAACGCCACAUACAGGCAGUAGACGAGCGCGUAGCCCAGGAACAGAACGAAGUACUUGUAGUUGUAAAAGUUGACGCAGUUGUUUACCCAGGGGCAGUGGUGAUCCAUCUUCAGUACACAGCAACUGCACACACUACAGUGGUGAGCUCGGUCUGGCUUUAUGAUCUUGCAUUUCUCGCAGAACCGCACCGAACCAUUCAUUGUGCUGUUGAGCAAAUGUUUAAAUAUUAUCAAAAAUGUUUGGAAAUACGUUA